UUGAACUCCUGACCUCAGGUGAUCUGCCCACCUCAGCCUCCCAAAGUGCUGGGAUUACAGGCGUGAGCCACCGCGCCUGGCCAGAGAGGCUUGCUUUUCUCAAAGUUGUGGUAAAUGCCAUGACUUGGGAUAGUUUUGGGUCAUAUGCUAAAGUCACCAAGCAAGGGAAUGCACUGAUUAGCAUUGCCCAGGUAGUGCCCCCACCAACUCCAAUCCAAAUCUAUGUUGAAACCUUAACGGCCAAUGUGACUGUAUUUGGAGAUAGGGCUUUUCGGCAGUAAUUUAGGUUAAAUGAGGUCAGAAAGAUAGGGUCCUAAUCUGAUAGGAUUGGUGACCUUAUAAGAGGAAGAAAGAGAGACGGCUCUCUCUCCAUGUGGUUGGACCAAAGAAAGACCAUCUGCAAGCCUGGAGAAAAGCCCUCACCAGAAGCGGAAUGCUACCAGACCUUGAUUUUGGACUUUCUAACCUCCAGAGCUAUGAGAAAAUAAAUUUCUGUUGUUGGAGCCACCCAAUCUAUGGUAUUUGUAGAGGCAGCCUGAGCUGACUAAUACAGUUGGGUACCCAGCCCUGGAACCAAGAGGUGGAGUCAGCCCUGUUCAAACUGUGGGAACUGUGGGAAGGGGUGUCUCUCCCCCAAGGAAAGUCAUGUUGCUGCGGCUGGAAAAAGAUGGAUGAGAUGUUUUGACAUGCAGAGAUGACAGCUGGCCACCUCUUUUGGAUAACUCUCUUAACCUAUCUUUGCUUCUAUCUCCCGAUCUAUAAAAUGGAGUGCUACCAACAGAGUGGUUUAUUUUUCCCCUGGCAGAUAUAGUGGUAUGCUAUCUCCAACUAUACAAAUAAUGGCAAUGCUCUAGGUCAGAGUUAGCAAACACUAUUUUUUUUUUUUUUAAAGAAAUAGGUCUUGCUCUGUUGCCUAGCCUGGAGCACAGUAGCACAAUCACAGCUCACUGCAGCCUUGAGUUUCUGGGUUCAAGGGAUCCUCCUGCCUCAGCCUUCCAAGUAGUUGGAAUUACAGGCAUGCACCACCACACCUAGCUAAUUUUUAAAUUUUUUGUAGACA
rnacentral:lncRNA from 1 species